ACUCCUACGGGAGGCAGCAGUAAGGAAUAUUGGUCAAUGGACGAAAGUCUGAACCAGCCAUGCCGCGUGGAGGAUGAAGGUCCUCUGGAUUGUAAACUUCUUUUAUCUGGGACGAAAAAAGGUCUUUCUAGA
rnacentral:rRNA from 1 species